AUCGGACAUUGAAAUGGUUACGGAGGUAGGUCUCAUGUUUGUCGAUAGUGUAGUGCUCGCUGGGGUGGUCACGGUCGGCCUGAUGAUCGCCUUCUUCGGUGGUGUCGGUUAUUUCAUCUGGCGGGAUUCGCACAAGAAGAAGGGUUGAUCCCGACAGAUACAAAGAGCACGCAAGGCAUUUGGGCGACCUCUGGUCGCCUUUUUUUUG
rnacentral:sRNA from 1 species